rnacentral:rRNA from 1 species
GAAUUCGCCCUUAGAGUUUGAUCCUGGCUCAGGACGAACGCUGGCGGCGUGCUUAACACAUGCAAGUCGAACGAGGUACAGAUGGAAGCUUGCUUUUGUCUGUACCGAGUGGCGGACGGGUGAGUAACGCGUGAGGAACCUGUCUCAUACAGGGGGAUAACAGUUGGAAACAACUGCUAAUACCGCAUAAGACCACAGCACCGCAUGAUGCAGAGGUCAAAGGAGGAAUCCGGUAUGAGGUGGACUCGCGUCCGAUUAGAUAGUUGGUGAGGUAACGGCCCACCAAGUCAACGAUCGGUAGCCGACCUGAGAGGGUGAUCGGCCACAUUGGAACUGAGAUACGGCCCAGACUCCUACGGGAGGCAGCAGUGGGGAAUAUUGGGCAAUGGGCGCAAGCCUGACCCAGCAACGCCGCGUGAGGGAAGAAGGUUUUCGGAUUGUAAACCUCUGUCCUUGAUGAAAAGAAGAAGAUGGUAAUCAAGGAGGAAGCCCCGGCUAACUACGUGCCAGCAGCCGCGGUAAUACGUAGGGGGCGAGCGUUGUCCGGAAUGAUUGGGCGUAAAGGGCGCGUAGGCGGCCAUUUAAGUCUGGAGUGAAAGUCCUGUUUUUAAGAUGGGAACUGCUUUGGAUACUGGAUGGCUUGAGUGCAGGAGAGGUUAUCGGAAUUCCCGGUGUAGCGGUGAAAUGCGUAGAGAUCGGGAGGAACACCAGUGGCGAAGGCGGGUAACUGGACUGCAACUGACGCUGAGGCGCGAAAGUGUGGGGAGCAAACAGGAUUAGAUACCCUGGUAGUCCACACUGUAAACGAUGAAUGCUAGGUGAAGGAGGGAUCGACCCCUUCUGUG